rnacentral:rRNA from 1 species
AGUGAACGCUGGCGGUAGGCCUAACACAUGCAAGUCGAACGGCAGCACAGUAAGAGCUUGCUCUUACGGGUGGCGAGUGGCGGACGGGUGAGGAAUACAUCGGAAUCUACUUUUUCGUGGGGGAUAACGUAGGGAAACUUACGCUACUACCGCAUACGACCUACGGGUGAAAGCAGGGGAUCUUCGGACCUUGCGCGAUUGAUUGAGCCGAUGUCGGAUUAGCUAGCUGGCGGGGUAAAGGCCCACCAAGGCGACGAUCCGUAGCUGGUCUGAGAGGAUGAUCAGCCACACUGGAACUGAGACACGGUCCAGACUCCUACGGGAGGCAGCAGUGGGGAAUAUUGGACAAUGGGCGCGAGCCUGAUCCAGCCAUACCGCGUGGGUGAAGAAGGCCUUCGGGUUGUAAAGCCCUUUUGUUGGGAAAGAAAAGCAGCAGGUUAAUACCCCGCUGUUCUGACGGUACCCAAAGAAUAAGCACCGGCUAACUUCGUG